rnacentral:rRNA from 1 species
UACAGAGGUGGCAAGCGUUGUUCGGAAUUACUGGGCGUAAAGGGCGCGUAGGCGGUUCGUUAAGUCCUGUGUGAAAUCCCCCGGCUCAACUGGGGAACUGCACAGGAAACUAGCGGGCUUGAGUUCGGGAGAGGGAAGCGGAAUUCCGGGUGUAGCGGUGAAAUGCGUAGAUAUCUGGAGGAACACCGGUGGCGAAGGCGGCGUUCUGGACUGCAACUGACACUGAGGAACGAAAGCCAGGGGAGCAAACGGG